AUGGAAUAUAAAUGAGAUUGUUCCGCUGUCUUGCAUUUUUAAUGACUAAAUAUUUGUUUCAGAUAUCUUAUAAAGCUUUUCCACCACUUUCAUCUGAGAGUCAAUAGGAGGUGAUCCAUUCAAAAUUAUGGUCGAUAACCAGGAAGAGUGAAUGAAACUGAAAUCAAUUUGAAGAGUGAAUUUGAGAUGUCCACCCACUCUACUGUACUCACUCAAAUAGAUCAGCCCUCCUUCUUGAUGUUUUCCAGAAAUACUUGUGCCUCAAUUAAUACCACACUUCACUGGACUUCUGUGGCAUUUAGGUCACAUAAUCCUGUAACCAGCACUGAAAAUAGACAGGUCAUUUGUCUGACAAACAAGGCAAAGAUGAAUGAAGAAAAAGUAAUACUUUUUUUUUUUCAUUCUACCUGAUUUUGCUAAGGAUGAGUCCUGACUGAGAACACAACAUAUUGCCUCCUAAUUAUUAUUCAAGUGGAAAACAAUGAAAAAUGCUGAAUUAGCAUAGAGAAUGAGAGCUUCCUAUAACGAUUCAUUUUUUUCCCUACUUUCCCCAGAGAGAGUUAGUAACAGUGACCUCAUAGAAGGGUAUGGGAAUGUCAGUGAUAAGGACAGCCAAGGUGAGCCCAGCUGGGGAGGCAUGUCAGAAUCUUCAGGAGGAUGGGAACAUCUUGUAGCAGCUGGUCCAGACACUGAGGAUGAAGAGCUGGUCUGUGCUCACCAGGAGACUAGUCUUCCUGACUUCAUAUGAUUCCAUCUCUUUUCUGAUUGGAACUGCGUGUUGCCUGACAAGCAUAGUGAUCUUGAAGACGUAAGACUGUGAAAACAACACAGAAACAAUCCGAAUUUUGGACCAAUGCUUGGAGGAGACCUUCCUACCAAUCAAGAUCACUCAUUCCAGAUUUCUGUAUAGGAAAUAAUACCCUA
rnacentral:lncRNA from 1 species